rnacentral:rRNA from 1 species
UACGUAGGGUGCGAGCGUUGUCCGGAAUUAUUGGGCGUAAAGAGCUUGUAGGCGGUUUGUCGCGUCUGCUGUGAAAAUCCGGGGCUCAACCCCGGACUUGCAGUGGGUACGGGCAGACUAGAGUGUGGUAGGGGAGACUGGAAUUCCUGGUGUAGCGGUGAAAUGCGCAGAUAUCAGGAGGAACACCGAUGGCGAAAGGCAGCAAACUGGGCGAUCAACUGACGCUGAGGCGCGAAAGCGUGGGGUAGCAAACAGG